GAACUAUUGGUAGUUGGAAUGCCGAAUUUCAGUGGGCUAGAGAGCAACUGCAGAAGAAAUCAUUACAAUCUACUCUGUCUAGACUGGCAUAGUGUUUUUUUUGUAUAUGGUAUAUGCAAGCAAAGAGAUCACAAGGUCCAUGGCUUUAGUGGAAUGGCUCCUGAUGAGUUGGUCAAAUGGAUUCAAUGAUCUAAACUCCAUGAAAGCACAGGGUCACGUUAUACGUUUAAUCCAAAUAAAAAACUGUUAGAUUAUGGAUUGGAAUGUGUAAAAGAUUGGAUAAUUAGAAUAUAUAUUUCCAAAAAGGGUCUGGUAUCCUCUAUAAUUAAAGUUAGAUUAGGUAGGAGAUGAGAGCCCUGUAAAGCUCGUAAAGUUGUAUUCAAGUUUAAGCAAGAAGAAGAUGAAAUUGUCUUCUUCAAGAAGAAUAAAUAGUUUAUUUUGGGGUUCUAGACUAUUUAUACAAUAAUAUGAUGAACAAUGUGCAUAUCACCUAUAGUUUUGGAUUACUUGAAAACAAAGACACAGAGGAACAACAUAACAUUGCAAAAGCUAUCCUAGUUCCAGGUUCUACAGUAUGUCAUGUGAAAAUAAAAAAUUGAAUGGAUGCGAGCCCUAUACUCGGGAGAGUUUUGAGAACCAUCAUAGUUUAGGGUUAAUAUCUGUUAAGGCCUGAUUUUAAGUAUUGGGACAUAAAUCGUGUGUAGACUGUAGAGGGUAUAAAUCCUGGGCCUAACAAAAACUUGCCUAGGUUUUAUUACAUUCAUCACAAAGCACACAACUUUUCAACAAUUAGUGUGUUUUUUUCUUUGUUAAAUUUAAAUUUAUUAAUUUGUAUUUUUGUGUCUUUAUGCAUGGUAUUUUCAUUUAUUUUUUUAUAAAAAAUUAUUACGUUGAUCACAUACAUUAUAUCCUUGUUGAUUUGUUGAAUUUAAAUCUACCAUUUCUUGUUUGUGUGCUCUUCAUUUAUGACAUUUUCAUGUUUUCUUUGUAGUAUUUUAUCAUAUUGAUGACAUUGAAAAUAAAAUAAUUCAUAUAAACUUAUCAUUAUAUAUAUAUAUAUAUAAAACGAAAUGAGAGCCUCGGAUGUUAGAACAGUAAAAACCGUAAUUCUCACUUUCACGAUUGUUAUUUUGGUAUAAAAAUGAGGAAAAGAUUGCCAAUUUGUUGUUUACUAUUAAAAUGCCCAUUCAUCCGACAAAAAUUGACCACAAGAUUGACUUGUUCCCAUGUCAAAAAAAUAGGGCAAAAAACGAUCAUCUUUUUGGGAGAUCUGAUUCCGUGGAUCAAGCAAUGGUGCAGAUGGUCCGCUACAUGACCUCCAACCCAGAUUGUGCAUUGCCUUCUUGGCCAUUCAAGUGUGGCAUUGCCCAUGUAAGGUAUCGUCACGGUAAAAUUCCAGCUAAUCCAACCACUGAACCACAAAAACUGACCACAAUACAACCGCACAUGUCGCCCUCUUCCAGCGCACUAGACACCAAAUCACCGAUCGCCGAAGGGCAUCAAGCACGCCAAAAAUGCAACAUGAUAAAGCAAGUUCAUGUGAUAAUAUAUAUAAUCAUGAGAUGUUUACUAUGAUUGUGGUAUCUUCAAUGAUGUUUACAGGCUAUGUUGGUAUGCUUUAAUGGUGGCACCCAGAGUAUAAAAACCUUAACUGCUCUGGUCCCCCACUUCGGUGUGUUUGUUUACAAGCGGUGCACCUCAUUAACAAACACUCUCUUUUCCAAACCUUUGGUUCCGCCUCCCUACCUCCCGUAAUCUCCGCAGAAAGAUAGCAAACAGCUUUCAAAUGUUGGCUGCCAUGCCAGGAGUAAAGUGACCAUAAUCACAAACUCACAACCAAUGGAUGCUCGAAACAUUUUUAAUGAAAUUAAAGCCCACCACAGGGACCACAUUUUGAAGAGGUAGAAAUAUUUUCCUUAGCAUGGCAUAGGUCGGAGAAAUCAACUUCUUCUAGCAUGUAUAGGUUGGUAGAGAAUAGCAUCUUAGAGAUUAUAUGCUAACACAUUUGUGCCCAGAACACUACCACCGCAUGGAUUCAAAAUGAGCAAAUGGAUAAAGAAAGAUAUCUAUUUGCGGCGCAACAACAUCAGGCACUUCUACUUCCACAGAAAGGGCACAGAAAUACCACUCUGAUAGGUAAAUAUAUAUCAUCUACACAUGUAAAGGAUAAAUUGAAACUUUGAAAGACCCAAAUUAAAUGGAAAAGAUUAUGAACGAAAGACAAAUAAAAAGCAAGGAAAAAAAACAUUAAACAGCAAAAGCAUAUGGUUAGUUGAAGAACAAGAGCCUCCUUUCACUCAUAUUCUGUCCCUAAGAACAACUCAAAACACCAACACACAGGUACAAAUGGCACAGGUAUUCAAAAACGGUGAAGAUGCACAAACAUAAAAAGGAAAUGAAUACAAAAAGGUAGGGAAAGAAGGAAGAAGAGACCAUUAAAGAGCCACAUAACAACUUGCAAUUGAUUUGAAUGCAACCAAACAGUACUAAAGAUACUUGCCGCCUUUUGCAAUAUCUUUUUUUAUUUCUCGUUGAAUCCAUUUCACAAGAAGCCACUGCAACAUGAAAAUAAAAUAAAAUUAACACAAAUGAAAUUGAUCAUAUGAACUGGUUCUACCACAAAAGAAUACAGGAGUUAGAUCACAUGAUAAGUUUUUACCUGAAUCCCUAAAAUAAGAGGAAUAAAUAUCUUUCCCCUGUCAUUUGACUCAGACCCAUUAACCAACUUCUCAUCAACUACAAGAGCUUUCUUCCCAUUUGUUGCAACCAAAAUGAUCUCUUUUACCAGGCUCGGAAUCCAAGCAUCCCCGUUGGGGAGAAUCUGCAACUCAAAAUUAAGCAAUUCACAAUAAACCACUUGAACAAAUGAAUAAAUUGUCAUAAACUCUGAGAAUAAUGAGUGAACCUUUUCAUCAUUCUCAUUUUUGUUGCAUCUCCCACUGUUCUCAACCAAACCAACUGGAAUAGCAGAAUCCUAGAAGCAUCAAAAGCAAGUGAAUGAUUGAUUAUGUAAACAAUCACACUAAAAUAGAACCCCCAAAAAUAAAUAAACAAAUUCUCAUAUUCUAUUUUCACAUGUUCCAUAGAGAUUGAUCUUCAAAUACAAUUACAGGCUAUCGAUUAUCUCAUGAACUGGAAAAUUAAUUUAUUUCCCAUUAAUGCCUCCUCAAAACUAUAACAAAGAUAAUUCUCAGAAAGGAAAAUAAAAAUGAAGAUGCAUCUGCAUUUUUAUCAAUGAAGUUGAUUUCCAAACGCAAUUACAGCACAUUAAAUGUCCCAUGAAGAAUGCAGUUCACUCAUGAACCACAAAACUAGUUUCAUUUAGGUAACACCCUCUUCAACUCCAAAUUAAUAAGUGCUUAGACACUGGAAUGCGUAUAUCUCAAUCCCAUGCAUCCAACACUUUAAUAUACAACUUUUGAAUUAAAAAAGUUCUCUCAAUCAAUUCACAGAAUUCUGAAAAUGGAGAUCAUACAACACCACAAUAUUUCAAGCAUUAGUUGUAGCUUGAGUAGCACCACCUUUUCAAAGAUGUUGUAAAUAACCCUCAUUUGUAGACUUCAGAUCCAGGAUGAAGAAAUUAUAUGGAAAGGGAGAGUUUACCUUUUCCGCAGAUAAUGACAUACUUUCAAGCCAUCAAUUGGCAUGAAUAAAGGUGAGAAGUUACUCCAGCUUAUCUAAUUUUCUAAUCAGAUUUGCAUAUUUUUCCUCUCUUGGAGUAAAAUCAUACAUAAUCACUUCUUUCCCAAUACAAAUCUAUAAGCAAACAUAAAGUACUAGAAAUGGUGCCCUAAAAUCUUGCCGAAACUCCACCAUAACUCAUGAAAUGCCAUUUUGCAUACUUGAGAAUAUUUUACAAUCCAAAAGAUAAAACAUUGCAAAGCAAAAAAUUAAAAAUUAAAAAAUAAAUUCUCCCUUAGGAUAUCCUUGAUAAUACUUUAAAAGGAUGCAGAGGAACUCCACAGAAAAUUUGGAUGAAAUUAAAGAAGACAAAGCAGGAAAAAAAGAAAAAGAAAAGGAGUCCAGAAUCACUUUGUGCAUUAAAGGAAACAAGUAGAAAUUUCAUGGUGUCCCUUGGUUUGUGAGAUACAAGAAACUGGGGCGAUUGCUAAGUGUUUUCCAACUGACUUCCACAGUGAUAAUGCAGACAAAGGGGGAAAGGGCUCGGUUAACCGCAUCACAUAAGCCACCAUCACGCAACUCUUCUUCCCACCACUCUUGAACUUGAUAUUCAUGAGGUUCUCAAUUUCCUUAGGAACCUCAUCUCUUCCUUUGCUUUGAAGCACCAGAAAAAAUCAAUUCUGAACUCUCCAUAAUUUCCUCAAGCUCCUAAAUCAAAUCUCCUUGUAUACCAGCACAAAACAUCCCAAGACAUCCAAUUUGUCAGAUAUGAGAAUACUAGAUACUCUUGGUGUAGUACUCCCUCGUUCACAUGAAAGAUGGACCCCCUAUGACCCAUGGAUCCUUUUUUUAUGGAAGCAAUAUAAGAGUCUCAUCAGAUUUAUAUAAAAAAUGUCCAUCUGAUGAUUCCCCAGCCUACCAAAAAGCUAACUUACUUCAAGUAAAUUGGUGGCAACAGAAAAAACCAUGUCCUGACCCUCAAGCUGGCACCCUUUCACCAACAGGCACUAAGGUUAUUACUGAUUAGGAUAAAAAUAUCAUCUACUUUGGUUUAACACCAACAAUCAAGGCCACUAAAUUUAACACAUUUGACAGCCUACCUUCACUAAUUCCCCACUCAGUCCUCUACAAAAUGUACCAGCUUCAACUACCAUGAUAGUCCUCAGCAUCCAGGAUGAACAAGGAUGUCAUGGUUGAAGGAAAUGAAUUUGAAAUAAUUUUCCAAGCAAUUCAUGUGUUGGAUAUAAACAGAAGUGGAAAUGGAAGAGGAUAUCUGAAAACAUGCUCAAUGAAUUGAAGGUUAUUUUACCAUUUUGUUUACUUCCUUGAAUAACAAAGUUCAUUUUUUAAAGUAUGUGAACCAUAUUUGAAGAUCUGUAUGGUGCUACAAGCAGUAAAUAAUUGACAAUGCAGAAAAAAAAGAAUGAUUUGACCGAAGCAAAACAACAAACCUCCAUUUUUAGCAUUCCUUUUCAUUUGUCAGCCAAAUGCGUACAUUUGAACAGGAGAAAGUUGCAAAAACCCAUGGUAAGUUUUUAACAUAGUGGAUAGAAAAAUGAAGAUAUGCUUCCCCAUUAAUUUCUAAAAAAAGCAAGUCACAGUGUCUCUUGAACCAGCGCAUCAUGAACCUUAAGUUUCUUAAGAGGUUAUAAGAUCUAUAGCAUUAAAAAAUGAGGUCUACAGCACUAUUCAUUAGCAUAAGAAUGUGUAUCUGAGAGAGGGGAGUUAUUUAUUUUAGAAGGAAUAACGUCUAUGAAAAAAAACCCAAAUCACCCUGCUAUUUGAAACAGAUUAUCAACACGCAUAUGCAGCAAAUUAUGCACUUAUCAUUUGAUCAGAAUAUUGUUGCACAUUCAGAAUACCAAUUAGAAGCUGUUGCCAGUAAAAUUAAAGAAAAAAACCUAGAAGAAGGGAGAAAAACAGCAAGUUAAGAAGAAACAAUUUACCUCAAAGUCUCGUUUCCUAAUCCGUGCUCCCAUACGAAUGGUCUUCAACACAGCCUCUGAUCUUCGAGCACAAAAGACAUCAUAACUUAGAUCAUCUGGUGGGCAGAGUUGAGCAUGAGUGAGGACAAGCAAACUUUUACUCCAUAUUUCUUUUCCAAAACUGUCAGAUAUAGCACCAAUUAUCUGCUUGUCCAAGUCAUCCACUCUAUAUGCAUCCAGGCGAUCAACAUAGAGCAAUACAUGUAUAGUCUUAUUCAAAAGAAACCUACAUUAGCAGACAAACCAGAACCUAAAGUCAAAUUAAUGUACGGUCACCACAUCUUUAUACAGGAAUUCCAGGAUAAAGAACCACAGAAGUAAUGAUUUCAUAGGAAUCCGAGUGAACCACAUAUGAGGUUCUAGUAGUACUAACCGUUUAAUCAUGUCCAGAGCUUGGUAACUGACAUAACCACCUUCCACAAGGCCCGGAGUGUCAAUGAUGUUUAACGUGAAUCCAGCCCGGUUGCGUGAAACCAUAACAGGUCUGAACCCCUCUGACUGUAAUGCAAGCAUUGUUAUUAUCAACCAUAUAUAAAUAUAUGGAGCAUACAAAGACCACAAGCUUCCCUUAGCCCUAAAAUUCACAGGAAAUUAGUUACCUGGAAAGAGCUAACAUUGACCGCUCGCUCUCCAAAAAGAGAAUUAACAGUGGAAGAUUUCCCAACUCCUCCUUUGCCCAUAACAAGUAUGGUCAGUUUAUCAACACCCUGCAAUUACAAAAUAGUCCAAUAAAAUAAAUAAUUACGAAAACAGAAACGACGAAAUGGAACAAAUAUUUUGAAUUGAAACAGCAAAAAGAUAGAAAGUCUGAACCUCUUCCUUUAACUUGGCAAACAAUUCUACAAGUUUGGAUUGAGUAGCAGUAGGGAAUUGCUGAAACCCUAUCCAUUCACGAAGUACAGACCCCAUUGAUGCCUAAAUUGACCCCAAGGAAAGAAAAAGAAGCUGAAAUUAUUGCCAACGUUAGUAGAAAAAAGGAAACAAAAUUUUGGAAUAAACCCUCAAUCCUAAACCCCAAAGAUUAUUUCUAAAAUAAAAAAUAAUAAAGGGGAGAGAGAGAGUAAGAAUAUCACCUCUUGAAUAUGUCGCCUAACUGCGGAAGAGAAAUAGAGAUAGAGAAAGAGAGGGGAUUGGGCUUUGCUUUGCUUUGCUUUUGUACAGUGCAGUGUAAUGGAUUACCUUAUCAAGCCGAAUCCUAAACAUUUUGUUUUUUUCCCUUUCUUUUGGUUAUGGGAGUAUCUUCUUGGCUUUAUGUUUGACUCAAGGUAGAAGAUCCAAAUGCUGCCCUUGGUUCUGUACGUGUAGCGACUGCUUGCUAUUAUACUGCCGGUUAUUUUUUAAAAUAUAUUUUUAAUAUAUUUUUUAAUUUUUAAAAAACAUCAAAGUAAUUUUAAAAUAAAAAAAUUAAUUUAAAAUAAAAAAUAAAAACUUUUCAUUUUUUUUAAAUAUUUUCAAAACGUCAAAAUAAAUAGGUUUGUUUUGUCUGUGUUUCUCAGCCUUUUUUAGUUUUUUUAGUUAAAUUAAAAUAUUAUUAUUUAUAAAAAAACCAAUACAAUAAUUAGUUAAAUCAAAUUCAGGGAGGGGGGUAAAUAAGAGUAAUUAUUUUCGUUGUUUACAAAUUCUAUAACACACGGGCUUGAUACCACAAGUCAACUAUUCAGUGAAAUAAAAAAGGAUUCCAGGUCCACGAAAGGCCCAAACAGAAAAAAGAGAAGAUGCUUCGACGGGCUAAAGCCUAAAAUUUAUAAAAAAUUUAGGCAAGGGCCCGGAUGCUCUAAUUUAUAAAAAAAUUAUAAAAUCAAGGAAAACCGUCGUCUCCACCGCCAUCAUCAAGCUUCGAGGAGGACAGAAAUCCCAAUCCCUAUUGUCUGAAAACCGGGAAUCCAAUCAAAUUCUCUGAUAUUUUACAGACGCAGAAAAGAAGACAGAAUGUCAGCUAGGUUACUGAAGAAAUUCCUGAAAGAACAAGAACUACAGCAGCAACAGCAUCAUGUGGAGGAUGAAGAAGAAGAAGAAGAAGAAGCAGCUGAAUCUCCUGAUUCGGAAAAUCGCCCUGCAAUAAACCCAUUUGACCUUCUCAAUGAUGAUGACGUUGAUCAGGUUUUAUUCCUCAGUCCUCGCUCUUACUGUGCAGCAAUUAACUGAUCAAAACCAGAAAGUUACCUAUACUUCAAGACGAAUAUUGCUGCUGCUUUUUUGUUUAUUUCCUUCAUUUUUUAGGUUGCUUACGAUGUCUUAUAUAAUGGGUAUUCAGUGUUUGGAAGGUGCCACAAUAUAUAAUAUUCUCUUUUAAGUUUAUAUGUGAGCUUCCAAUACCUACAUAUGAUGUAUUGUUGUGUAAAAAUUGUCCCUUUGUAAAAUUAUAAUCAGUCUGACAGUCUCUUAUGAACUUGAGUCGUUUUGAGAUUUUAAAACAUACAGUAGUAACGCAACACCUAGAGGCACUGCGUUUCUAUGAACCCAUAAACCAUGUAGCUAGCUGAAAAACUGAGACUAAAAAAACAUGCCCAUGCUUUUUUUAUUACAGCAUGUGCAAUACAGUUGACCAGUUCGUUUGCAAUAGCUUUAGUUUGCAUGCAUUCUUAGCGUUCAAUUCAGUUUUUCAUGGAAGCCUCUACGGUCAGUUCAGUUUUCAUAGCAUUCUUUACAUUUGGUUCCCAUUCAGCUGCCCAGAAUUAUGUAUUUUUGUCUGCUUAUGAAGGAUUAUUACUUGGUCUUUCUAAGCAUUCUGUUCAGUUUUCUUAGGAUCCGUUACAUUCUUUUCCAACCAUCUUUUUAUCUGAUAUUUUACACCACUUAUCUUAUGCUUUGCUCAAUGGUCGAAUUGCUCCGGAGUGUGAAAACUUAGUGAGAUAACAAGGAAAUUGGUGCGUGCAUGUGAAAUUUUGAAGAACAUUUGAUAUUGCAGAAGAAGAUCCGUUAACAGUGUAUUUUCAAGUUUAUCUGGCAGAUUUGUUUAUGUAAUUGUUGUUCAUCAUCUAACAUUGUUCUCAAGUAUGAUUCCUUAAAAGAUCUAAUUGCUUAAAUCAAAAGGAGUACUAAUGGUUGUGGAAGGAAAGUGUGGAAUAUCUACUCUCCAUUUAUUGUCAGUUGCUAAUGUUUGGUUUCAGCUGCAGGAGGAUGAGCCAGAAAUUGCAGAUGAAAUGGUAUUGGGUAAAGAUCACAAACAGGAACUGUCUGUGAUGAAAAGCAUGACGGGUGCCAUUUCAACUUCCAAUCAGAAAUCAAAGAAGAAGAAGAAAAAGAAAUGCAAGGCUGGUUUGACUUCAAUUACAAAUAAAGUUGAAGAACCUUUGGAUGAUACAUUAGAUGCUUUAUCCUUGGAUGCUAAUUCUUCAAGACAUAAGCUGGGCCCCACCAAAACCAAACCAGAAACAUCAAAACUUUGUGCAGGAUUUGUUAAACAAUGUGCACCUCCCGCCUUGCAACUGGAUCCCAAAUGUUUGAAUCCUGAGAAUGAGUUACGGAGAAUUUUUGGUUCUAAGGUGGUGAAAUCAUUUGAGAAAAGUAAUCAAGACAGCAGUUCUAGACAGGUUCGUGGCGGCAGACGUGGAGCCCAUCAUACUAGAAAGACAAUUCUAGUCUCUCCAUCAGAACAUUGGCCUCGUUGGGAUGGAUCUUUAUCCAUGGAGUUUUUGGAAACUAAGGACGGAUACCAUCAUUUUAGGUAAUGAAUAUCCUUGCUUUCUAGAUAUUGUCGGCAUUAAUUCUCCAUUUUUCUGCUUUAUGUCCCAGGUUAUGCAUCUGUUAUGAAAUUAAAACAUCACUGGUAGUUUCUUCAUUGACUCGUAUUGAAUGUAAAUUCCUUAUUCUUGCUUGUGAAUUGUAGCAUUCACAUGGGGAUUUUUCAUUCACAUGGGGAUUUUUCAUUUUAGUCAUGGGUUUAAAUUGGUUAUCAAGAUACAUAAUUUUUGGUGUCUUUCAAGGAUUUUUUUUCUAUGGGAGUGAGGAGGGGGCAUGGUGGGGGAUGAAGUGAUGGUCUUAUGGCUUUAACCUACCUUAUGAGACUUUGAAAUGUUUAAUGAUAACUAGGACACUUUAACGGACUGUCUAGUUGCAAGCAGCCCUAUGGAAAGGAACCUCCCUCAUCCUGAUGGGAGCCAAGGUAGCUUGGUCCUCAAUCUGCUACCCCCUGAAGGAAGGAGGCCUUGGUCUUAAAAGUCUCAAAACAUGGAAUAGAGCUGCCACCAUGAAACACAUAUGGUGUAUUCUAACAGACAAGCAUUCAAUAUGGGCAACAUGGGUUCACACCACCUUACUUCGAGGGAGAUCCUUCUGGCAACUUAACAUCCCCUCCAACCCCUCUUGGUCUUGGAGGAAGGUUCUUCAAAGUAGGGACUGGUGCAGAGGAAAAUUUACGACAUGCAUUGGCAAUGGGAAUGCAACCUAUCUUUGGUUUGAUUACUGGCUUCCAGAUGGGAAAAGGAUAAAUGACAUGCUCCCCCUCAGAACUCUCACUUACAAGGUUACUCUGAAAUGCAAAGGUCUCGGGGAUCAUCAAAGAGGAUGGCUGGAACUUUCCAAGCAGUAUCCAAGCCUUUCAAGCAAUUUGGAACUCUAUUCCUUUUCAGCCAGGACCCCACAUGGAAGAUCGCCACGUCUGGAAAGGGAAUCCCUCAGGACAAUUCACCAUAGAUUCAGCUUGGGAGUUGCUUCGAGAGACCAGACCUGCAAAUACCAUUCACCAUUUGCUAUGGUUCAAAGGUCAUAUCCCUCGUCAAUCCUUCAUACUUUGGCUUGCUUCUCAGGGCGCCUUCGCACUAUAGAUAGGCUACACACCGUGGGGAGCAUAACAAACACAGCAUGCAUUCUAUGUGGAAUGGACAUUGAAAACCAUGACCACUAAUGUUCUUAUUCCAGCACAGUUUGGGGAGCCGUGACCAGCAAGUCUGAAGUGCAAUGGCCUAACAUCCCUUGGCAUCAGCUUCUCUAGUGGGCCUCCUCCAAUUCUAAACUCGUCAUGAAAUCACCCAUCUGCUAGCUCGCCUUAUCCUGUCCGCCUCAGUGUAUUUCAUAUGGUACGAACGAAACAACCGAAUCUUCUGCCAACAUUUCCAGCCACCUCAGUCCCUAAGUGAGGACAUCAUCCAACUAAUCCGAACUCACCUGAUAAGCUAUGAUCACAAAUGUACCAUCCCAGCUUCUAUCCGAGAUUCAUGGGACCUGCAAGAGCCAUAGCUUCCUGCCACUUCUUCCCCCUGUAAUUGAAUCUAAAGAGUUGGCUUUUGGUUUCAAGUCAGCUAGCCUCUUAGUGUAGCUCCCUUUGUCUUUCUGUUUUUUAUUUCCUUUUCCUUUUUUGAAUUCGUUUUCCCUUUUUUCUUGUAUCCCGGGAGGUUAACCCCUCUUUAUUUGGACCUCUUCUUCUUUUAAUACAUUAAUCUUUUCCAAAAAAAAUUUUUGUCUUUUGCAGACUGGCUGCAGAAGCAGCAUUAUCAUUUGUAUUUGUGAACUUAUUCUGAAAUCUGUGUAAAGCAUUUUUAUUCUGCACAAGAUGUGUUCGUAUUCUACAUGGGCUGCUAAAUAUGGUUCUUUUCUAUUAUAUCUAUCAGUUACUUGAAUUGCAAUCCUUUCUUGUGUUUUCUUGAGGAAUUAUUGCGUCUCUGCCUAUCAGUGAAACUACAGUGGUUUAAUUCUCAAGUAAAAAAAGCUAAUAUAUCUCAUUCAAACUCAUUUCCAAAUAGGAUUUUCCUUCUUCAUUUCUUCUUUCUCUUCUCACCUAUCUUCUAUAUAUCAUUAGUUGGUGAAGCUCUUUUGUUGUGAGCUUUGAUUCUUCAUGCAUGUCCUGAUUCUGUGUUGUUUUAUUUAUGCAGAUAUGUUCACUCUUCUUACUAUGAUCAAGCACAGAGUGCAUUUGAAGCUGCCAAAGCUAUUCAAGAUCUCAAUGGCAUAGCAAGCAUUCUAUUAUACCAACCUUAUCACCUAGAUUCACUUAUAACAAUGGCAGACUAUUUCAAAUUUGUGGGUGAGCAUCAAAUGUCAGCUGAUGCUAUUGCAAAGAGUUUAUAUGCCUUGGAAUGUGCAUGGCACCCCACGUUCACCCCCUUGCAGGCAAAUUGCCAGUUGAAGAUCAACCAUGAAACAAACAAGCCAAUGUUUACAACACUUUUCACUCACAUGAAAAACUUGGACAGGCGUGGUUGUCAUCGUUCUGCCCUUGAGGUUUGCAAACUUUUACUUUCAUUGGAUUUAGAUGAUCCAAUGGGGGCCAUGUUCUGUGUUGAUUACUUUGCUUUGAGGGCAGAAGUGUAUGCGUGGUUGGAAUGGUUUUCUGAAGACUAUAAAAGUGAUAACUCCUUAUGGUUGUUCCCAAACUUCUCAUAUUCUCUUGCCAUUUGUCGGUUUUAUCUUGAGUGUGAGGAACCAUCAAAAGAUGAUGAUACUAGUGCUACAAAGUCUAGUUCAGCUGAUUUGAUGAAGCAGGCUUUGAUGCUCCACCCGUCAGUCCUUAAGAAGUUAGUAGCCAAGGUACCUUUGAAAGAUCAGGCAUGGACAAAUAUACUAAAGCAUGCCUUUUUUCAAUCAGAGAAAACAGGGUCUGCAUCCUUGGAUCAUCUGAUUAAUAUAUAUGUAGAGAGAAGUUAUAUCAUAUGGAGGCUUCCAGACCUGCAAAAAUUGCUUCGGAACAGUGCUUUACAAGUGAUUGAAACUCUAGAACAUAGUAGCAGUGAUGCCAAGGAUUGGGCUUGUGUGAGAAAAGAGGCCUUUUCAUCUGAGAACAAUGAGUAAGUGUUUUGAAUUAUGGACUUGUUCCUAUAUUUCGCUCUAACCACCUAUUAGUAGCUGUUAAUGAUUGUUGUUGAUUGUUGUUUUGUCCCAAGAAAUGAUGUUAUUUAUUGUUAUUAUAAUUCGCGCCCGCAGAUGACUGAAUCAAGUUUAUGCUUGUGUGCUGAUUUGAGGGUCUGCAGAAUUAUUAUUGGAACUGGACUGAGAUACAUCCCUUGCAUCCAAUGAUUGCUGUACUUGAUGUUGUUGCAGAACUUGAUACAGUUUGUUUAAUUAUAGGUAUGGCCAUUUGCUGGUUUCAGACUUCUCUGAUACAGUUCCAACACUUCCACCUGAGAACCUGCAAAACUUCAUGGUUGAUCCAAGGAUGAGAGAGGCAGAGCAAAAUGGGGGACAAAUUGCCAACCCACUUGACGGUGGCCCUGCUCCACGCGAUGUUGCUAAUCGAAAUGCAUUGGCAGUCUUGUUUGAAUCUAUGUUGCCAUGGGUUAAUUAUGGGGGUGGAGGGGAUGAAGGAGGCAAUGAGGAGAACCAAGUUGAUGGACAUGAACAAGGCGACGAUUGAAUUAGCAAUGUUCUCUCUUUAAAAGGGAGAAAAUAAAUGGCAUCAUACGUCUGAAAUGCAGAUAUUUUUUGGCAUGGGUCAUCAAAUGAAUUCCUGCUGUUUGAUGUGAGUAUAAGAGCAAACCAUUCUCAAAACAUGACCGAGUGUCGACGCGCCGCAAUUCCUUUUGUACAGCAGAAUUAACACUCUCUUCCGUUGAGAACAGGUAUCAUGCUUGCACAAAUUAUCCUUGUGGGAAAUUGUAGCCCUCGUGUACUUUUAAGUGUUUGGCCUUGGUGUUCUUACUGAUAUGAUAUUGAUAAUAAAUUGUUGUGCUAUUCCAUUUGUAAAAUUAUUUAAACUAAAUUAUUAUUAUUAAAUAUAUGACUUGAAUAGUUUUUUUUUUUUUUAAAUCAAACAUUUUCUAUAAUAAAUUUGAUGAAUUGCUUAAGAAAAAGUUCUUUCUCUAGAAAUUAUACAAAUAUUGUAAAAAAAAAAACAUAUGAAAAUAAUAAUAAUAAUAAGACAUUAAAUAGUUUUUUUAAGUAAUUAAAACUAUUAAAUAGAGCCAUACGUGUUGAGAUGUAAUAUACUUGAUUAUUUCAAUUUUAAAAUAUUUAAGAUUAUUUAUUAUAUAAUUAAAUAUUAUUUUAUGUAUAAAACAAGUUUGUUAGUAAUAAUUUUUUUUUUGUGCAAAUGAUUACCUCGAUAUUUAUAAGUUGGUUGACUAAGACAAUGUUUAGAAACACGGUUGCAAUUGUAUUUUUUAAAAAUUUAAUUUAUUUUGUUUAAAAUUUUUUUUUUUAUGUUUUCAGAUUGUUUUAAUGUGCUGAUGUUAAAAGUAAUUUUUAAAAAAUAAAAAAAAAAUAUUAUUUUAAUGUAUUUUCGAGUGAAAAACAUUUUGAAUCGUAACUCUUAUUACACUUUCAAACAUCUUUUAAAAAUAUAUAAACAUUGUAAUUUUUUUAUAUUGUUUUAUUUUAAAGUGAAAUAUUAAAAUAUGUGGUUAGAAUAUUUAAAAAAUAAAAGUGGUUGAGGCAAAAGCGGAAUUGCUUACAAUUCAUGAAACUCGGAUGAAGUUGAUGUGUUGAUCUAAAGAGUUUCUAACCUCAACCCUGACCGGAUUAGAUUUUUAUAAAGAUCAUUGUUAAAUUGAUGUGUAAUUAAUCUGGUUAAAUUUGGUUCAUCAAGUGAAGGCACAUUCAAUUUAACAGGAGUCAGUUUUUACUUUAUUUUAUGGGGACCAAGGAUAGUUGUUUUUUACGCUAUCAUGGGACAGAAAACUACUGGCAUCGUCGGCCAAUGCUCCUACCACCCAAUACACCAUGCUUUGAAACAUGGCAUCCUGCAAUCUAUAGCUGAAGUAUACAACAAAAAACGAUAUUCCCGAUCCCAACGUAACCCCUUGUCCCUCGGCUCUUAAGACAAGAGUAAAAAACAGCUUGUCCCAACAUUUGUGCACCACCGCAGGCAUUGUUCAACCCUCUGGUUCUCAAAUUGAAAAUCCAGCCAUUUACAUUGUUGAGCUGGUAGCUAUAGAAGAAGUUUCAACCCUCAGUGGAGCAAUGAGAAGCAUCUUCCAAUUAGGAAAGAGCUUCACGAUCUCAACAGCCUCAGUGGAAACAGCAUUAGAGUACUUUAAGUUGGUGCAGGGGGUGCCACAUCCCUCACUGCUAUGGCACUAGCCAUUGUUCUUGUUUCAAUUUUACACCGCCAACCUCCCAGGAUGGUGACAAACUGACAAAUUGAUGUUACAAUGUACUCUACAUCACAAAAUCAAAUGUCUGGAAGUUUAAGACAAGAAGACACGAACAUAAAUCCCACGUCUGUCUGACCCGUUGAGCUCUAAAGAAACGACACCAUUCGAAGCUACAGUACAGCAGCCAGCAGGUACAUGCCCAUAAAUAAACGCGUGUAAAUGCAAACACACGACAGAGUUCUGUUUUUGGCCGAGCAUGAUUCUUCGUGUUUUCAAAGAAAACAAAGAGUAUAAUUGAUUUGCAACGUUAAUAACUUCAUGUACCAUGUCGUUAUACACACAAGAUCCAUUUCUGUCUUGUUGUUGCUUUUCUCUUCCCAUACAAAUAUAGGCAGCCAUUUCUGUUGCAGUGGAGAAAAACAUUAUCGAAUUGAGGCUGCCACACUGGAGAUGUUGCUUUCCGAAUGCUAACGCUAUAUUGGUGUUCAAAGCAGUCAGCUAGUAAUAUUACAGUCUCACCUUAUCUAGAACCCAUAUUAAUUAUUAAUUAACAGAACCUAAAAUACAUGGUGAAAAUAUUUUUCACCAUGCCACCAUAGCUCUUCUCGUGGUUUACUAAUAUUGGAGUAGUAAUUUUUUUUUUUUUUUGCAUUUUAGGCCUUUUUAAUUAAGGAAACCACAUUCUUGAAAAGUAAUUUCCAAGUUUUUUAAUGAUUGAUAAACUCUAAGAAAUUAUUUUCCAAAAAAAAUAAAUAUAUAUUUCCCUAGAAAAGUGUUUUUCUCCUCUUAAUUCUGAGUUUAUUGGUUUAUACAUUUUUAAAUUUAUUUCAUUUAACAUAACCAAUAUCUUUACAUUUCUCUAUUAAAAAACUCAUGAUACAAUAAAACACACUAGCAAUAUUGAUUUAUUUUUCUAUUAUAUUAAAAUAAUAAAUCUCACCUACAAUGUAGCAUUAACAAUUGUUUUUACAUUUAUUAAUACAUAUUACAUUGGCUUUUCAAUUCAUAAUUUUUUUUAAUAUAAAUAAAAAUCACAUUCUUUUUUUUGCAUUACAAUUUUUUUUUUUAUCCUAACACUAAAUCAACACAUAUUUAUUAUAAUUGCACCUUUUCCUCGGGCACAUCAAUACCGUUUUCUUUGUACCACUUCUUUCAUGUUUUUGAGGCGCUAUGCAGUUGGAAAAUUUUCUACCUCCAGCUUGAGUCUAACAAUCAGACAACAAUAACAGGAGGUGAUCUAGAAUCACUGCCAUAUGUCUUAAGGCACUGUUUGGAAACGGUGCAAACUAUAUGUUAUAAAAUUUUAAUUUUUUUAAUUUAUUUUUUUAUAUAUAUUUUCAUAUUGUUUUGAUGUACUGAUGUUAAAAAUAAUUUUUAAAAACUAAAAAAAAUAUUAUUUUAAUACAUUUCUAAAUGAAAAAUAAUCGCUACCGCACUCUCAUAUACUCUUAUAAAUGGAGCAUAGAGCUUUUCAACGAAACAUCACUUCAGUGCAUGGAAGGAAAAAUCAGCUGAUAGAGAAGGAAGCUCACAAAGACUUUACACACUGACUAAAAGCAGAGGAAGCAAUUUAAGUUUUGAUGAGCAGCUAAAGGCUGGAUAUUCACUAUAAAGCAAAGUGUCAUACAGCAUGCAAUCAUGCCAUAUAAUUUCUCCUCGUUGCGUUGAUUACAUUUUUAUUACAGUUAAAAAGAAAAUCAAUGUGUCCUCCAAUUUCUGUUAUCAUCUAACUGCAGUAACAGUUGAUUUUUUUUUGCAACAGGAGCAAGAAUUUUUAAGGAGCAUGUGCAGAUACCAUGUUAAGUGCAGAUUUGCAUUUCAAAUUUGUCAGUCAUAAUGGAAUCACAUUCCCAGGCCUGCUCAUCAUCAUAACGACUUAGAACUCAAUGCUUAACCAAUAUGCUAGUUAAUUGUCAAUGAAAUAACCUCAUUUUUGCCUUCUCGUGGCGCUGUUCAAUCUGUUGCAGCUUUUGUAUCUCAUUCGCUCAUGAAAUGAAUCAUUGAAUCAAAAAAUCACUGUCAGCCUGUGAAAAUGUCAUCUCUUUCGGCAGAUUGUCAUGCCAUCCCCGAUAGGUACCUAUCAUCCCAAAUGCUUGGACUUUAGAGUUGUAAAAGUGACUGGUGAAAGCUGAUCAGUAUAUUGGUUUUUUUUCCAGAAUUAAAAAACAAACACACAUUCCAUUUACGUACCAUACUGAUGCUGACACGUGGAUCCUCCAUUAUAUUUUUAUUGAAACUUCUGAUGCUAACCGUCUUAGCAUCAUUUACCUGCUAAAAAAAAUACUAUCAGAAGUAAAUUUAAUUCAAAGGGAUAGAUUCUAUAACUCAUAAACAAUAAUUCACCAGCGGGUCAGCAACUUUGCCAUGCCAAAGAACAUUGUCAAUGACAAUGACACCAUCAACCCUAACCUGCAAUAAGACCAAGAACUCUUACAAACUGCUGCACAAACUUUAUGGAGAGAUUUUGCAGGAAAAAGUCAGCUUAUAUGUGGAAAUGGAUAGAGGAAAUUCUGCUUUCAUCAUCACGUGGAUCUUACCAGUUGUAAUAGCAAUUCAAAAUACUCCUGAUUCAUUCUCUUCUCAGCAUCAACAAAUGCAAAAUCAUAGCUGCAGAAAGAAACUACAUAAAAAUGUUAAUCACAUUAUCUUGAGAGCCCCCUGGUAUUGGAAAAACUACCAAGAAGAAUUUAUUGAAACAGAAAAUGUUGCCUCCUGGUCCACAUGAAAGGAGAGGAGCAUGAUAAAAGCACUGGCUUAUGACAUUACCUGCAGGAUUCACCAUUCAGAAUCAAUGAUUUUAGGAUAUCCGCUGCCAUUCCAUGCUUCACAUCAACCUAAGUUCAAAUGGAACUGUUGGACUUAUCGAGUAAUAGAUGGUAGUGCUAAGACUAGAAAAUAUGUGGUGAAGUGGUGAUAGAGCUAAUAGCAGAAAGAACGGACCAGGUGAUCUAACUCAACAAAUACAGCAAACUGCACUCAUCAAAAAGAGAACCAGUCUUUUGCGUUUUCAAAUGACAUCUCUACUAUAUCACAGCAUGCCUCACUGAACCAAAUUAUUCAAAUAAUUUUACAGCUCUGUAAGAGAGAAAUGAUGGCAUCAAAUAUAAUUCCUACCUUGUGGGAAACACCAGCUAGCUCAUAAUACUUUUUUGCAACCUCUAGAGACUUAGCAUCUCUUUCACAGGCAACUAAACAAGCAGAAUCUGGCAGUACUAAAGCAACAGCCAACGACGAAUAUCCCUGAACAGAAACAAUCAUAUAACAAUUACUGCAAUUCCAACAUACAGAAUAUCAGUAAAUUAACAUUACAUCAGACAUCACUAUGCUCCAAACAAUUAUAGAACGAUUGCUGCAAUGAUGAUUGAAGCAGGAAGGGCAAAAUCCAAAUAAACUUAGAAAGAGAAAUGUAACAACAACAUACGGUGUAAACACCAAGUUCAAUACAGCGUUUCGCACCAAGAAUCUGGACAAGCAUGGCAAGCAGUUGCGCCUGGUCAGGAGAUACCUGCGGAAUAGAAUAGGAAAUUAAAAAAGAAAAAAAAUCGAUUUCAAGCCAUAUACAAAAAUGAUAUUGCCAAUUUCAAUAUAACUGAUUCGGUACCAUGCCUACCUGCAUCUGGCUACCUCGCAUAGAAGCAGUCUCUUCUCGAAGUUGCCUUAAAAUCUGAGUAAAAUCAAAUAUUAAAAAUGAGCACAAAGUAAUAAUAGAAAUUAACUAAUUAAUACCUCAGGCUCUCUAACGUUGGAGAGGAUGUAGUCAUAAAGGCGAGGAGUUAGACUUAUGUUCUGUUUGUUGCCGUACUUUUCGUCAUUUGCAACUACAAACGCGGAGUCGUUGGGGUUGGGGUAGGAGCAGGAGUAGGAGCAACAAUUUCUGGCUAGACGAAUCGGUUUACAAGCCCUAAAUCCAUUUCCAGAAAUUGCUACUGUUCUUCUCCCUACGAUAAUAGUGGCAGCACUGGUGUAUUGAUAUGAUACCAAAGAGCACCGAUAAAGCACCGAGUUGCUCGCCAUUUCGAUUUCAAGUCCGGCGAGGGAGAGAGUGAGAGACUCCAGGCGGGCUCGGGUCGGGUCUUCGGCCCCUGCUGGUCCUCUUUUUUAACCCAGAAGCACAGUACAACUAACUCUGUCGUUUAAACUGACAUUAGACGGCAUGUCAUGUAUAGAUGCAUGAUUGUCGUUUAAAGCCAACUGCUCAAUUUAAUUUCCACCACCAUCAAGAGCAAAAGCAAAAGGUAAGGAAUUGAAAGACGGGGGAGAUAACAUAACAGGAUAUUGCAAGCUUCCAGGCCUAUAAUCCGGUGAAGAAAUGAACAUGGCUUUUGCUACUUCGUUGUAUCCUGCAACUGGAAAGAGACCCAUUUUCAAAAUUAUUAACCCUUUUACUUGUAACGCUGCCACUAGAAGAAAUCUCACCGUUCGAAGAAACUUUUCAUGUUCAGCAACUGUAGCUACUGAUAUCACUGCUCGGGUGGCCACCUUCUCUUCUUUCUUCUCUUUCUUAUCUCGUCCUGAAUCAUGAUGAUGAUGAUGUUUGGUACUGUACAACGUACAUUUUCUGAUUCUGAAUUCUUUUUAGGUAUCUGAAUUUGAGAUUGAGAACAAAAAAAAUGAUUUGUUGAGAUUGGUCCAAGACACGCAACGAGGGCUUGUUACCACUCCUGAUCAACGCUCUUCUAUUGAGGAGGCUCUAGUCUGUCUCUCUCGCUUUUUUCUUUUUCUUUUUUAUUUCUUUCUGUUGGGAUAACUUGCCCUCUCUCUGCUUGUACUGAAAAGAAAAGGUUUUGAUGAUUAUAAAAAUAAAUGUAUUUAUUGUUUCUAAUAUCACUGUGGCAGGUGAGCUUGGAAGGAUACAACAUGGGUGAGUCAGUUGACCUGGUGCGGCUGGAUGGCACAUGGCGCCUACAGAACACCUCUGCCCCUGAUGUUCUUGUUCUCUUUGAAUCUGCUGCAAGGUUUCCCUUCUUUCAGGUGGUAAAAAUGAAAGCUUCUAGUUAUGAAACUUUCCUAUUGAUAGCAACAAACAGUUUCUGCUCAAGUUUAUCAACUUGUUUUAUCCCAUUUAUUAUUUUUCUAUAAAAUAAUUGUGUUCAUUCCUUUCUAAUCAUGAAAUUGUGGUGGAAGAAACUUGGUGGUAGUAUUUGUUGACUAAUGUAGAACAAGAUACUUUCUUGAAGCCUUUCUACUUGUGGCAUUUUAUCUUUUGAUUUGGCUUUCAUGUAUCUAGUUGCCACAAUUUAUGUAGUUUGGCUAUUUGUACAUGAAUCCUAUUUCUUAAACAUCAAUCUUCGACUCCUUGAUGGGUUAGUUUUUUUUUCUGCUUUCUCUCUUCAGCUUUUGUUGUACUUUUUAUUUGGGUUACCAAGUAAUGUUUAUUUCUUCUAUCAUCGUUAUUAUUUUAUCUAUGAAUGUAAGGGUAGGUUGGGCAGAUCUACCAGAAAUUUGAAUGUAGAGAUCAGUCUGAUGGUGGUGUCAUUCGCAAUGUUGUUCAAUGGAGUAUCCCAACAUUGUUAGAGGUGAGCUUCUGCAUUUCCUUCCUUUGCUGCAUUUGUCUUGAAUGUUUCUCAACUAGGUCUACGGCUACUGACAUUUUAAACAAGCAAAUUGGUCAAGCGCUGUAUCCCUGACAAUGCCUGUCUACUUCUGAAUUAGUUUCUUUAUGCUUCAACUCUGGAUCUGAAAUUGCUAUCCCAACCAGCAUAAUAUUUGUUAAUAGAUUCAUGGAUUUGCUGUCUAGUACUUAAAUUUGUGAAUCAAUUGUUUCUUUAUUGUUCUUGGCUUCCUUUAAUGAGAAUCUGCUUGUUUUCUUGAGAGAAAAAAAUGAUAAAUUUCUCCUCACUUGAAAAUUUGAGGAAUUGAGGAUCUCUUUGUAACAUGUGGGUGUAUGCCAUAUGAGUGAAAAAAUGACUGAAAUGUCAGAAGGGGGAGUAGAAUCCAUGAAGAAUGGAAUAGGAACUAGGAGCAUUAGUUGAAUGGGGAUUUUUCUCCAAAAGAUCAAAAAUGAAAAACAGUAAGAGAUGCUAAAAGAACUAAAACUACUUGGGACCAAAAAGCCAUUUCUCUGUCAAAGAUGAUAGACUGUACUUUUUAAGAAUGCUUGCCAGAUUCUUCUAAGAACAUAUUUUCGUCUAAUUCAUUUUGUGAUUUGAAUGCUCUGCAGGAACAAGAAGGUGCUACUCUCCUUGUUUCCGCAAAAUUUAAUGUUGUUUCUGCACGCAACAUCUAUCUUCAGUUUGAAGAGGUCAGCUUCUAAAAAUAUCUUGGCGUAUUUUUUAUCUGUUGUCUUUCUGAUGUUAAUGAAUUAAUUAGCUCCUACAUUGGGAAGAGCAACUUUAAGACCACUUGACUCUUCCUUUCCCCGUGAUCACUUUACUAGUUUAGAAUUCUCUAUAUUAAAUCUUUAUUCUCGUUUAUUGUUUGAAACUGCCAUUAUUUCUGUCAGAUAAGCAUUCAAAACAUUAGAAUCAGUGAAGAGUUGCAAGCUUUAAUAGCUCCGGCACUGCUACCUCGUUCAUUUCUUAGUCUACAGGUGAAUGAACCUUGAUCUUUAAUUUCAGAUUGUGCUGUUUAAUUUUUAGCAUUGCAUACCACCUGAUAAGUCUGAUGCCCAGGUCCCAAAAUCAUAUUGCUAUCAUCAGCUAGAUGCUGAAGCUUAAUUUUCUCUGAAUAUUCAACCAUCAAACAUAUCUUCUCAUCAAGCUUAUAUUUAGUGAUUUGUAAGAGAAGAUCAUGGUAUUUUGUCUUAACAAGAGCCAUCGUUUGAAUCCUUCUGAACAGAUCCUACAGUUUAUCCGUACUUUCAAAGCUCAUGUUCCUGUAAGAAACCCAGGAGACCCGGGGAGGUACAAUUUGUUAUAUAUAUAUGUUCCAUUGAAGUUUUCCAAUUUGCACUCGUGAAUUGUGAAACAUGCUUGAAUUUCAGGCGAUCAGUGGGAGGCCUAUAUUACCUCUCCUAUCUGGAUCGCAAUAUGCUUUUGGGGCGUGCUGUAGGAGGUGGUGGAGUUUUUGUCUUUACCAGAGCUCAGCCUAUUGACUUGUGAGGGACAACCCUUGCUUGUCUUAUUUACUACCCGGCGUACACAAAACUACACAUCAAAAACUUGAUUUGGAAGUGGCAAGAUGGGGAACGAAUGGCACGGGAGAUAAGGGCCACAAAGCAAGAGACUGAUAGUCCAAUGGCUGCAAGGAUUUAGAAACAAUGGAUCUCCCAGACCAUUAUUUUCUCCUGCUCUUCCCCGCAGGCAAGGAAGUAACCUUCCGUAGCUCUGUAUACUGCUCUUCUAGUACAUGUAUCCAUAUUUCAUUUAUUUACUUGUUGUACAUUUUGGUUUAAAUUUUCACCGCAAUAACAUUUGAAUAUAUCACUGCCGAGAUUUGAAAACUGCUCGGAGGGAUACAAAUCUUCACAGAAGUUUUUGUGUUUGAAGGUGUCGCCUUCCAUGUUUUUGUUCAUACAAUGCUUGUCCCAGCGGCUGCAAAUGUAUCAGGAAAUGUAGGGAAUUAUACUUGUAAUAUCUACGAUAACCACGUUAGCAUUUCCCAUCUUCCCCAAGUUUUGUGCGGAGACCUAGAGUAACAGCAGUAAUGCUUGAAAUUUUAGGCAAUGCUUCACGGUAGUCUGUGCAAUCAGUUGAACUUAUGGAAAGCUUAAAAGAAAAUGCCUAUCGAUCAAUUAAAUUUGGUAGUGAAAAGAAUUUAGAAAGAUGCAAGGGACGGCCAAGGAACAGAGGCACCAAAUCCCCUCCCCUCUCCAGAUGAGGAGUUGUAAAAUUGUUUAAAGCAAGUGCCAAGACUGCUUCUCUUUGGUAAAACAAAGAAAUGAUUGUGGUCAACAUGCAUUACCACACAUUGGAUUAAGUUUAAACCAAACUAAUUUGAUAUAAGCUUCAAGUAGAACAAACAAAACCUAAUUAUCGAAAAUGCAGGUACUAAUCCAAUCUCUUGUCAUGUUAGGCCUUCUCUUUGAUUUAUUUUCUUUGAAAGAAAUUUAUUGAAAUAACAUUUUGAAAAUCGCAAGAGAAGAAGAAAAGGCCCUGCAACUGCCUAUAAACUACCUGUUGAAGUGUACAAUGGCUUUAACGGAUAAUCUCCAACAAUUAUCCAGGUGUAGUAAGUACUCUUCUCAAACUGAAACCUUGGAUUAGACUUCACUAUAACUAACAAAGCAAACUAUUCCAGCGUUCUUUAAGAAUCUCAUGCGCCUUUUCACAAGGAACAGCCUGCAACCUGGUUCCUCUUCCAUCAAUGGGUGUUUCUAUAACAAGGCCUAGCCUAAUCAAAGUAUUCAUUGCUUCUUCAACUGGCAUUUCAACCUGCAUUCAUUCCGACAAAUUAAGCAAUCAACACCGGUUAUCAGCUUUGCUAAAUAAUACUAGACUCGUAUGUUUACCUUUACUUUAAACACAUCGUACAGAAAUCUCUCACAUUCAUCUCCAACACUUCGGUGACAAGCGACCUGCAGUAAUUAGAAGUUUUUCUCUAAACAAUAGGAAAGUGUUCAAGGAAAUAAAAGAAAUUCUAUGCUCAAAGGCAAGAAAUGCUCCUCUUGUUUUUUUUCUUAACGCAAGAACUGUUCUAAAAAAAGGCUGCAUGUGCCGUGAUGAUAGGCAAGGAAUUGUAUCUGCUAUGAGAAUUCCAGAUAGAAAAAUUAAAUGCCAAUUCCUAGAUGAGCCUAAACAAUGCGCUGGCCUGUAUUCAAUAUCUCCGUGUAUCAGUUGACAUCAGAAGAUAACAAAUCUAACUAUAGACCACGAGCCUUAGUUGCAGAGGAAGGUUACAGCAUGAAGAGGAGAAAAUUUUUCCAAAAUAUACUCUCUAUGUACUUCCUAAAGGCUAAAACCAAAAAUAUCAAAAAGCACAACACAGAUUUUAGAUCAUAUAAAAUUCU
rnacentral:lncRNA from 1 species